UAAAAAUCAGCUGAAAAGGUACAGGAAAAAGAAAAUAUUCCUACUGAAAACGGACAUCUGUCUUUAAAUGAAGCGUGAAGAAUUGGUGGCAAAUAGACCAAUUUCACUGGGAUUAUCGACUGACUGGGCUGCGCACUUCACACUACUUUUAGAAAGAAUCGUCAGCUUUUCACGGGUUCAUUGAACAGCAAUCAAAAGUGGCAAGGCCAAGCAAAGGGACGACCGGCGCAAUAGAUUGGUUUUUGAUUGGCUGGCGGGCUCUGCGCACGCUCCUGAUGUGACAGACCUGAAGCCGGAGGACAGAGGUCAACCUGACAAAAGAGAAGAUCAGCGGAGAAUCAAUGAAUCUUACAAGUCUCCGGAGUCUAAUAAAUUCAUGUGACAUUGGUGAUCAGAGCUCUAAAUUAUUCCGGCUCCACAACUUCAUCGACUCUCAGCUGGAGUCGACCUAAGGAACUUUCUACUUACUGUACAAGGGGAGAACUUUCUAAAGUAACUUCCAGAGGUGACUACAAAUGAAGAAGGGUUAAAGACAACCUGUCAUAUCCCACAAAAACAAAAUGUUAUAUGUUACUCAGUACCUAAUCCUAAUCAUGUACGUAUAAUUUGUAUGUGUCCAGCACCUAUAUUUCCCUCACAAAUACCUUCUUUCUGAUGCUCACUUGGUUUGUCAUCCCAUGCUCUGGAGGGGCUUGUCCUAAC